GUUACAAGAAUCUGUAUAGUAAAUCAAAUCAAAGGAGAUAAGUAUUCAACAUGUUCUUAUAUUUUAAAAAAAAUUCUUUGUAUAUUAAAUGAGUUUUCUAUCCAGUGAUUAAUUUUAUUCCGAAGUACUCUUUAGAUGAAUGAGUAUGAGCAAUUCACCAUCUCUUGACUACAUUCU